rnacentral:rRNA from 1 species
AACGAACGCUGGCGGCAGGCUUAACACAUGCAAGUCGAACGCCCCGCAAGGGGAGUGGCAGACGGGUGAGUAACGCGUGGGAAUCUACCCAUCUCUGCGGAAUAGCUCUGGGAAAUUGGAAUUAAUACCGCAUACGCCCUACGGGGGAAAGAUUUAUCGGGGAUGGAUGAGCCCGCGUUGGAUUAGCUAGUUGGUGGGGUAAAGGCCUACCAAGGCGACGAUCCAUAGCUGGUCUGAGAGGAUGAUCAGCCACAUUGGGACUGAGACACGGCCCAAACUCCUACGGGAGGCAGCAGUGGGAAAUAUUGGACAAUGGGCGCAAGCCUGAUCCAGCCAUGCCGCGUGAGUGAUGAAGGCCUUAGGGUUGUAAAGCUCUUUCACCGAUGAAGAUAAUGACGGUAGUCGGAGAAGAAGCCCCGGCUAACUUCGUGCCAGCAGCCGCCGCAG